AAGAACCUUAAUUGGGCCUUGGUAUAUAAAUGAAUAGUCCACUUAGAUUAAAAACUUGGUAAUCAAAGUAUAACCUGUAAUUGGGCUAGACUAGGUGCGCUUCAUGCAUAAUUAAAUAGUAAAAAUAGGCUAGCAUAAUAAACGGGGAUUGGGUCUAACUAAAAUGGGCUAGACUUAAAUGGACCCACAUAUUGUAGUAAUUGUUGUGUUUACAAUUAUUAGCCCAUUAAAUAAUAC
rnacentral:lncRNA from 1 species